rnacentral:lncRNA from 1 species
CCAACUCCUGAGAUCCCAUUCGGAAGCUGCUGAUCACCAGUUUCAAGUGUUUCUGUUUAUUGGGAGACUGCCUUCCUCUGGCACUGGCAGUGACCAAUUAUUAUUUUAGAGAGACUGUUAACGGCCUGACCAUCACCUGAUGAAUAUCAGGAAUGUGGCCUGACAUUCCUGGUACACGGAGCGCCUUCUUUUCGUUUAGAGCAUUGGUGUCUCCACAUUAGAAGCAUCCUAUGUAGCUGUUCUGCUUGCAGCUGCCCAAGUCUGCCUGGGCCUCCUGCAUGAGGUCAUGAGUCUUAAUAAAGCCACUGACCCACACAUUUGGAAUCGUACUGACUUUUCACAACUAACAGCCAACACAUUGCCAAGAAGCAAUUCAAUUGUUGAGGAUAUCACAUCAUGCCAGGGAAAGAGAGAUGGAAUUCAGAAAGCCUGGGAUAUUGCAGGCCUGAGACCGGCCCCCAGUGUGUUGUGACUCCUGAGGUCUCUCAGCUCUCCCUCAACCCCCAGGAGAAUUGCUCUCCACUCCAGAAGCCGCCUGAUGGGGAGGCUGACCCCUCUCCAGGACUGACUGAUCCAGGUACAAAGGGUCCCCUUGCGGCAGUGGUGGAGCACCCUGUACAGCAGUUUGGGCUCUGGGCUCUCCUUUGAGAUCAGGCCAAUGCCUGAGUCAUCCUGGCUUGACAAGGUGGGAUGAAGGUCUCCUCCACCUCCAGGUUCCUUCCUUCCCUCCUUUAUAGGUUUAUCCUGACAGUAACCUCUCCCCAGGUCGGAAGACCUCUCAGGCUCUGUUUCUAGGGAGGCUGACCUGCUGACAAUGCUCCUAGCUGGAUUUUGUAAGCGGUCUUGAAUAAAGUCUUCCUCACUGUUUUAACAAGAGACAAGGUAAUGUUCAUUGAACAUCUUAUACAAAGAGGAAACCUGGCACAGAAGUGGACAUGCACUCGGAGGGAAAAUGCCAAGUGACAAUGAAGGCAGAGAUCAGGUGAUGCAUCUGCAAGCUGAGCAACAUCAGGAAUUGCCAAAAACCACCAGGAGCUGGAGAGGCCUGGGACAGAGCCUCCCACGGAGCCUCAAGGGAGCCAGCCCUGCCCACGCCUUGAUCUUUGACGUCCGACCUCAAGAACUAUGAAAGAACCCAUUUCUGUUGGUGAAGGCUCCCCGUCUGUGGUCCCCUGUCCUGGCAGCCCUAGGAACCUGACCUCUGGUCCCUCUGCAUCCCUGGCAUCACUCUGCCUCCCUCUCUUUUUCUCCAGUGAAUCCAACACACUCUCAGUGAGACAGCCAGGUGGCAAGGGGUUCUCGGAGAAACUCCAGCCGGCCUGCUCGCUGGGCAUGUACACUGGAGUGGAGCCACAGAAGUUCACGGUGUUUGCAGCAGGGAGGAGCCUGGCCACUCCUCUUCCUGGUUGGAACCUGGAAUUUAUUUUGUGAGGCGGGAAGCCUAUACUGGGGAGACUCUUGCUCUGCUGAGUCCCCAUUCCCCCUUUAUUUUC